UACGGAGGGUGCAAGCGUUAUCCGGAUUCACUGGGUUUAAAGGGUGCGUAGGUGGGAAUGUAAGUCAGUGGUGAAAUCUCCGUGCUUAACAUGGAAACUGCCAUUGAUACUAUGUUUCUUGAAUUUUCUGGAGGUAAGCGGAAUAUGUCAUGUAGCGGUGAAAUGCUUAGAUAUGACAUAGAACACCAAUUGCGAAGGCAGCUUGCUACAGGGAUAUUGACACUGAGGCACGAAGGCGUGGGGAUCAAACAGG
rnacentral:rRNA from 1 species